UACGAAGGGGGCUAGCGUUGUUCGGAAUUACUGGGCGUAAAGCGCGUGUAGGUGGUGUUGCAAGUCAGAGGUGAAAUCCUGAGGCUUAACCUCAGAACUGCCUUUGAAACUGCAACGCUAGCAUCCGAGAGAGGAUAGUGGAAUUCCCAAUGUAGGGGUGAAAUCCGUAGAGAUUGGGAGGAACACCAGUGGCGAAGGCGGCUAUCUGGCUCGGUAUGGACACUGAGACGCGAAAGCGUGGGGAUCAAACAGG
rnacentral:rRNA from 1 species